AACGAACGCUGGCGGCAUGCCUAACACAUGCAAGUCGAACGAGACCUUCGGGUCUAGUGGCGCACGGGUGCGUAACGCGUGGGAAUCUGCCCUUGGGUUCGGAAUAACAGUUGGAAACGACUGCUAAUACCGGAUGAUGACGUAAGUCCAAAGAUUUAUCGCCCAAGGAUGAGCCCGCGUAGGAUUAGCUAGUUGGUGAGGUAAAGGCUCACCAAGGCGACGAUCCUUAGCUGGUCUGAGAGGAUGAUCAGCCACACUGGGACUGAGACUCGGCCCAGACUCCUACGGGAGGCAGCAGUGGGGAAUAUUGGACAAUGGGCGAAAGCCUGAUCCAGCAAUGCCGCGUGAGUGAUGAAGGCCUUAGGGUUGUAAAGCUCUUUUACCCGGGAUGAUAAUGACAGUACCGGGAGAAUAAGCUCCGGCUAACUCCGUG
rnacentral:rRNA from 1 species